CGCUAUUUAGGUUAGAGUUUGAUCAUGGCUCAGAACGAACGCUGGCGGCAGGCCUAACACAUGCAAGUCGAACGCCGUAGCAAUACGGAGUGGCAGACGGGUGAGUAACGCGUGGGAACCUUCCCAGUGGUACGGAAUAGCUCAGGGAAACCUGGGGUAAUACCGUAUACGCCCCUCGGGGGAAAGAUUUAUCGCCAUUGGAUGGGCCCGCGUAGGAUUAGCUAGUUGGUGGGGUAAUGGCCUACCAAGGCGACGAUCCUUAGCUGGUCUGAGAGGAUGAUCAGCCACACUGGGACUGAGACACGGCCCAGACUCCUACGGGAGGCAGCGCC
rnacentral:rRNA from 1 species